UACGAAGGGGGCUAGCGUUGCUCGGAAUCACUGGGCGUAAAGCGCCCGUAGGCGGAUUGUUAAGUCAGGGGUGAAAUCCUGGAGCUCAACUCCAGAACUGCCUUUGAUACUGGCGAUCUUGAGUCCGGGAGAGGUGAGUGGAACUGCGGGUGUAGAGGUGAAAUUCGUAGAUAUUCGCAAGAACACCAGUGGCGAAGGCGGCUCACUGGCCCGGUACUGACGCUGAGGUGCGAAAGCGUGGGGAGCAAACAGG
rnacentral:rRNA from 1 species